UACGGGGGGGGCAAGCGUUGUUCGGAAUUACUGGGCGUAAAGGGCUCGUAGGCGGCCAACUAAGUCGGAUGUGAAAUCCCCAGGCUCAACCUGGGAACUGCAUCCGAUACUGGAUGGCUUGAAUUCGGGGGAGGGAUGCAGAAUUCCAGGUGUAGCGGUGAAAUGCGUAGAUAUCUGGAGGAAUACCGGUGGCGAAGGCGGCAUCCUGGACCGAUAUUGACGCUGAUGAGCGAAAGCUAGGGGAGCAAACGGG
rnacentral:rRNA from 1 species